rnacentral:rRNA from 1 species
GAACGUACGCUGGCGGCACGCCUAACACAUGCAAGUCGAACGAAGUAGCAAUACUUAGUGGCAGACGGGUGAGUAACAUGUAGGUAUCUGCCCUUUGGCCUGGAAUAACACGAGGAAACUUGUGCUAAUACCGGAUAAGUCUUUACGGAGAAAGCUUUAUGCACCAUUGGAUGAGCCUGCACUUGAUUAGUUUGUUGGUGGGGUAAUGGCCUACCAAGACUGUGAUCAAUAGCUGAUUUGAGAGGAUGAUCAGCCACAUUGGGACUGAGACACGGCCCAAACUCCUACGGGAGGCAGCAGUGGGGAAUCUUGCACAAUGGAGGAAACUCUGAUGCAGCGAUGCCGCGUGAGUGAAGAAGGCCCUUGGGUUGUAAAGCUCUUUCGUCGGGGAAGAAAAUGACUGUACCCGAAUAAGAAGGUCCGGCUAACUUCGUGCCAGCAGCCGCGGUAAUACGAAGGGACCUAGCGUAGUUCGGAAUUACUGGGCUUAAAGAGUUCGUAGGUGGUUGAAAAAGUUAGUGGUGAAAUCCCAGAGCUUAACUCUGGAACUGCCAUUAAAACUUUUCAGCUAGAGUAUGAUAGAGGAAAGCAGAAUUUCUAGUGUAGAGGUGAAAUUCGUAGAUAUUAGAAAGAAUACCAAUUGCGAAGGCAGCUUUCUGGAUCAUUACUGACACUGAGGAACGAAAGCAUGGGUAGCGAAGAGGAUUAGAUACCCUCGUAGUCCAUGCCGUAAACGAUGUGUGUUAGACGUUGGAAAUUUAUUUUCAGUGUCGCAGCGAAAGCGAUAAACACACCGCCUGGGGAGUACGACCGCAAGGUUAAAACUCAAAUGAAUUGACGGGGACCCGCACAAGUAGUGGAGCAUGUGGUUUAAUUCGAAGAUACGCGCAGAACCUUACCAACACUUGACAUGUUCGUCGCGACUCUAAGAGAUUAGAGUUUUCGGUUCGGCCGGACGAAACACAGGUGCUGCAUGGCUGUCGUCAGCUCGUGUCGUGAGAUGUUGGGUUAAGUCCCGCAACGAGCGCAACCCUCACUUUUAGUUGCCAUCAUUAAGUUGGGCACUCUGAAAGAACUGCCAGUGAUAAGCUGGAGGAAGGUGGGGAUGACGUCAAGUCCUCAUGGCCCUUACGUGUUGGGCUACACACGUGCUACAAUGGUAUCUACAACAGGAAGCAAGACUGCGAAGUUAAGCAAAUCCCUAAAAGAUACCUCAGUUCGGAUUGCACUCUGCAACUCGAGUGCAUGAAGCUGGAAUUACUAGUAAUCGUGGAUCAGCGUGCCACGGUGAAUGCGUUCCCGGGUCUUGUACACACCGCCCGUC